rnacentral:rRNA from 1 species
GUGAGAACCUCUUCUCGUACUGAAAGGGAGAUGCGAAUGCAUCUGUGGCGUGCGCUUUUUUCUUUUGCGGAUUCUAUGGCCCAACGCCGGCCGGCCCCGUUUUGUUGUGGGCUGCGCGUGAGUGUGCCUGUUUGGACCCGAAAGGUGGUGAACUAUGCCUGAACAAGGUGAAGCCCGGGGAAACCCCGGUGGAGGCCUGUAGCGAUGCUGACGUGCAAAUCGCUCGUACGAUUUGGGUAUCGGAGCGAAAGACUCAUCGAACCACCUAGUAGCUGGUUCACGUCGAAGUUUCCCUCAGGAUAGCUGGUGCUCGUGUCCGGCAUGCUUUUUCUGAAAAAGAGAGAAGCUGCCCGCGUCCCACCGUGUUUGUGUGUGGCGUGAUACGAAAAGUAUUGUGCGGUAAAGCAAAUGAUUAGAGGCAUUGGUGUUCUUGUAAUAUCGACCUAUUCUCAAACUUUAAAUGUGCAAGAAGCGCGGCCUUAGCCAUUUUUUAUAGCAAGGCCGGCAGACAAGAAUUGAGGCACCAAGUGGGCCUUCUUCGGUAAGCGGAGCAGGCGAUGCGGAAUGAACC